GUGAGAGUGUGAAAGUGGUCUUGAAAAGGAAAACCAGGAAGAAAACGAAGAACAUUAUGAAUCUGGAUCUGACCGCCCAGAAUUGAAGGAAAAGCAUCUGAUCUACAAACUCGAGGGGGCCGCAACAUCCAUCAGACUAUCACCAAGUGCUAGACUUGUUCAAAACCAACUCAUGGGGCCCAUUCCAUAGGCAGUGUGCUU